rnacentral:rRNA from 1 species
GACGAACGCUGGCGGCGUGCUUAACACAUGCAAGUCGAACGGAGUGGCGAACGGGUGAGUAACACGUGGGUGACCUGCCCUGCACUUCGGGAUAAGCCUGGGAAACUGGGUCUAAUACCGGAUAGUGUGGGAUGGGCCGGCGGCCUAUCGGCUUUUUGGUGGGGUAAUGGCCUACCAAGGCGGCGACGGGUAGCCGGCCUGAGAGGGGGGACGGCCACAUUGGGACUGAGAGACGGACCAGACUGCUACGGGAGGCAGCAGGGGGGAAGCUUGCACAAUGAGCCGAAGUCUGAUGCAGCGACGCCGCGUGGGGGAUGACGGCCUUCGGGUGGUAAACUCCAUUCACCAUAGACGCGGUAGAUGGAGAAGAAGCACCGGCUAACUACGUGCCAGCAGCCGCGGUAAUUC